GGCUGUUCUGGGGGGAGACAUGGGGGGGCUGGGCCUCUUUAUUUUUUUCCACUGGGCACAUAUUGUAGACCUGGGAUGUUGUUCUCUCGUUGAAAGGGAAUGGCCGGGUCUAUGUUACACUUUGACAACGUGUUUUAAAGUGUCGGGUACUGGGGAUAUAACAAAUAUAACAACUUUCAGCAACGGAUCUCUUGGCUCUCGCAUCGAUGAAAAACGCAGCGAAAUGCGAUAAGUAAUGUGAAUUGCAGAAUUCAGUGAAUCAUCGAAUCUUUGAACGCAUCUUGCGCUCCUUGGUAUUCCGAGGAGCAUGCCUGUUUGAGUGUCAUCAAGUUCUCAACCAUACCUCGGUGUGGCUUGUAUCUGGGGGUUUUUGCAGGCUUUGAAAAAAGUCGGCUCCCCUGAAAAGCAUUAGCGGUGUCCGAGUACCUUUGGUGUGAUAACUAUCUAUGCCUUGGUGUAUACGAUGCAUGCUGCUUCUGAACUUGCGUCUUGCGCAUUUUAUUGACGGAUUUGACCUCAAAUCAGGUAGGAUUACCCGCUGAACUUAAGCAUAUCAAU
rnacentral:rRNA from 1 species